UCCGUCAUAGCUCAACUGGCAGAGCAGCCGGCUGUUAACCGGAAGAUUGCAGGUUCGAUCCCUGCUGACGGAGC
rnacentral:tRNA from 1 species